GGCUACACAUGCAGUCGAGGGGUAACAGAUCUUCGGAUGCUGACGACCGGCGAACGGGUGAGUAACACGUAUGCAACUUACCCAUAACUCGGGAAUAGCCCAAAGAAAUUUGGAUUAAUACCCAAUAAUACAGGCGUACCGCAUGGUAUUCUUCGUUAAAGAAUAAUCGGUUAUGGAUAGGCAUGCGUUCUAUUAGGUAGUUGGUGAGGUAACGGCUCACCAAGCCGACGAUGGAUAGGGGAACUGAGAGGUUGUCCCCCCACACUGGUACUGAGACACGGACCAAACUCCUACGGGAGGCAGCAGUGAGGAAUAUUGGUCAAUGGACGAAAGUCUGAACCAGCCAAAUCGCGUGAAGGAAGAAGGUAUUAUGUAUCGUAAACUUCUUUUGUAAGAGAGUAAAGUGCACUACGUGUAGUGUAUUGCAAGUACCUUACGAAUAAGCAUCGGCUAAUUCCGUGCCAGCAGCCGCGGUAAUACGGAAGAUGCAAGUGUUAUCCGGAUUUAUUGGGUUUAAAGGGUGCGUAGGUGGUCUAAUAAGUCAGUGGUGAAAUCUCUUUGCUUAACAAGGAAAUUGCCAUUGAAACUGUUAGACUUGAGAAUGGACGAGGUAGGCGGAAUUCGUAGUGUAGCGGUGAAAUGCAUAGAUAUUACGAAGAACUCCAAUAGUGUAGACUGCUUACCAGACCAUAUCUGACACUAAGGCACGAAAGUGUGGGUAUCAAACAGGAUUAGAUACCCUGGUAGUCCACACAGUAAACGAUGAAUACUAACUGUUUGCGAUAUACAGCAAGUGGUCGAGCGAAAGCGUUAAGUAUUCCACCUGGGAAGUAUGCCGGCACGGUGAAACUCAAAGGAUUGACGGGGGCCCGCACAGCGAGACAUGUGGUUAUCGAUAUACGCGAGAACUACCGGCUCGACG
rnacentral:rRNA from 1 species